AUAAAUAAUAUUCUAUUUCAUUAUCUUUACGCCACUGUAACAUCAAAGCUGUGGCAAGACCGCCUGGAAAAAUAACACAUACAAUACAGCCUUCAAUUACAGAUAGGAAAAUCUGAGGGAUUAAAACAACAAAAUCGUGUUCGAUGGCUGUAGAAGUAGAAGUGUCUACGAGUAUGGUAGGGUUAAAGUCCUUGUGCACGAUUUUGUUGGUUACUUCAGCUCGAGAUAAGGACCAAAAUACCAAGUCGCCGACUGAGAGCGUCACCUCAACAUCCAUACAACCGAGCAACCAGCCCCUCUGAAUAUCCCGGCCACCCGAGGUCUGUCCUCCAGUUGAGUUCGGGGCAUCAUCGUGUGACGAGGGGAACAGUGUCUCGCGCCUUAUCUGUGACGUCCGAACAUACAAUAUUCUGUGAUUUCAUAUACUUGCCCGUAUAGGAUAAGCGCGACUGUGAUGCUGUAUACUGAAGUAAAUAGAAACUGCAGGGUGCGUUCCAUUACAUCACAACUGCAAACAGACGCUAUACCAGAGUGAAACGUUUGUCGCGUCUGAGAGAGAAAGUGGGAGCCUAGGAAGGACAACCUGCUGCUUCGACUCGAGCUUCUCGGCCAUCAGGGACGAAUUUCCAUAGAAACCCUUGCCAUGGAGAGCUUGCUGUCGGCGCGGCGUCAGGUUUCCUCCUCAGUGUGAUACUACCUUCAGGAAGCGUCAAAAGAGUUGUGGUGGACGUUGACACGACCAUUGGAGAGGUGAAGCGCGAGUUGCAGCGUGAGAAUGGUGUCGCGAGAGCCAGCAGGCAGCGUCUGAUGGCGGGAAACGUGGAAAUGCAGAAUCAUAAACGCCUGAGGGAUUACGGGAUCGAAGGCGACUCAGUGAUCAGGAUGGAGGUCGUUGAGCAACUGUCGGAAGGGGAAUGCUGCAUUUCGUAAAAGUGGGAGCCUAGGAAGGACAACCUGCUGCUUCGACUCGAGCUUCUCGGCCAUCAGGGACGAAUUUCCAAAGAAACCCUUGCCAUGGAGAGCCUUGCUGUCGGCGCGGCGUCAGGUUUCCUCCUCAGUGUGAUACUACCUUCAGGAAGCGUCAAAAGAGUUGUGGUGGACGUUGACACGACCAUUGGAGAGGUGAAGCGCGAGUUGCAGCGUGAGAAUGGUGUCGCGAGAGCCAGCAGGCAGCGUCUGAUGGCGGGAAACGUGGAAAUGCAGAAUC